AAAUGAUCCCAUGCUGCCAAGAAAAGCCUCUAGCGAGCUUCGAGCGGCCCGUACCCCAAACCGACACAGGUGGUCAGGUAGAGAAUACCGAGGCGAUCGGGCGAACUGUGGUUAAGGAACUCGGCAAAUUACCCCCGUAACUUCGGGAGAAGGGGGGCCACAGACUGUCAUACCCCACGCGGGUGGCAGCAGUAGGUGGCCGCAGAGACCAGGGGGAAGCGACUGUUUACUAAAAACACAGGUCCGUGCGAAGUCGUAAGACGAUGUAUACGGACUGACGCCUGCCCGGUGCUGGAACGUUAAGGGGACCGGUUAGUCCGCAAGGGCGAAGCUGAGAACUUAAGCGCCAGUAAACGGCGGUGGUAACUAUAACCAUCCUAAGGUAGCGAAAUUCCUUGUCGGGUAAGUUCCGACCUGCACGAAUGGCGUAACGACUUCCCUACUGUCUCAACCACAGGCCCGGCGAAAUUGCACUACGAGUAAAGAUGCUCGUUACGCGCGGAAGAACGGAAAGACUCCGGGACCUUCACUAUAGCUUGACAUUGGUAUCCGAAUUUAAUUGUGUAGGAUAGGUGGUAGGCUUUGAUCCGCGGACGCCAGUCCGUCGGGGAGCCAACGUUGAAAUACCACUCUGUUGACUUUGGGUAUCUAACUUCGGACCGUGAUCCGGUUCAGGGACAGUGUCUGGUGGGUAGUUUAACUGGGGCGGUUGCCUCCUAAAAUGUAACGGAGGCGCCCAAAGGUUCCCUCAGCCUGGUUGGCAAUCAGGUGUUGAGUGCAAGUGCACAAGGGAGCUUGACUGUGAGACUGACAGGUCGAGCAGGGACGAAAGUCGGGACUAGUGAUCCGGCACCUGCGAGUGGAAGCGGUGUCGCUCAACGGAUAAAAGGUACCCCGGGGAUAACAGGCUGAUCUUCCCCAAGAGUCCAUAUCGACGGGAUGGUUUGGCACCUCGAUGUCGGCUCGUCGCAUCCUGGGGCUGGAGUAGGUCCCAAGGGUUGGGCUGUUCGCCCAUUAAAGCGGCACGCGAGCUGGGUUUAGAACGUCGUGAGACAGUUCGGUCCCUAUCCUCCGCGCGCGUAGGAGACUUGAGAAGAGCUGUCCCUAGUACGAGAGGACCGGGACGGACGAACCUCUGGUGUGCCAGUUGUCAUGCCAAUGGCACGGCUGGUUAGCUACGUUCGGAAGGGAUAACCGCUGAAAGCAUCUAAGCGGGAAGCUCGCUUCAAGAUGAGGUCUCCCACCCCUUAGAGGGUUAAGGCCCCCAGCUAGACCACUGGGUUGAUAGGCCAGAAGUGUAAGCCUGGUAACAGGUUCAGCCGACUGGUACUAAUAGGCCGAGGACUUCACCG
rnacentral:rRNA from 1 species